GCUUGGAUGGUUUCAGGAGUUUGCUUUCUUUGAGAAUGUGCUCCUUGUUCCUUUUUCCCAGAGGAAGAAGAUGAUGAGGAUGAAGAGGAUGAAGAAGAUGAAGAUGAAGAGGAGGAAGAGGAGGAAGAUAAAGAUGCAGACUCCCUAGAUGAGAGCUUCGAUGGUGACAGCGACCUUCCAGGCUUUACUCUCCCUGGUGUCACAUCGCAGGAGCCUGGCUUGGAGCAGGGAAACGGGGACCCACUGGCAGGAGCCACCUACCAGAUGCCAGACGCCAUCGAGUGGGAGCAGCAGAAUCAAGGCCUGGGACCAAGGCCUUGGGGUCUGAGCCCUGCCUCCCGGGAGCAGAUAGGCCCUGGGGGCCAUGCAUCCAGAGUCGAGGUGAAGAGUGUUUGUCAGGUAGGCCUUGGAAACUACAGAGGGUUCUAAAGACGCUCGUUUAUUUAACCCAUUAAUAAGAGGAGGUGGUGCUGGGGAAACCAUGGGAAAAAUCCUGAAGUGAGGAAGCUUGAUUUCAGUGCUGUCUGCAGCCCUCUCUUCCCUUUCUCCCCGCUUCCUGUCUGUGCUUUGCGUUCUUCAUUUGAGCCCUGGUCACAUCUGCCUGGGCCACCCUGGGACCUAGAGACACCUCACUCUCUUCCUGGCUCCUCUCGCUGCAUGAAAGCACUCUUAAGAUCUUGGCUUAAUGACUUUUUGCAGGGCCAUCAAUAAUGUACACUUCUUAGAAGAUGCAUUUUAAAAGAAUACAUAAUCAUGGCUUUCAUACAGAUAUAAAAUGAACACAUCAAAGAAUUGAUCCAAAUCAGCAAUUAAUGAAGGAAUCAGGGACCACAGCUGGCUUCAGGGAGACACCAAAUAACUGUGGAUUUAUGUGGUGUCAAGAAUCUUUGAAAUUAAUUUACAGAUGGGUGCAAGACUGACAUUUUGCGAGGGGACACGGCUGUCCACCAUUGGGCACCCAGAACGCCUCAGCUGGCAGUGGAUGCAUUUUCAUUUCACUCAGAUUCCUUAGUAAGAAUCAGUCCCUGUGCCCCACCUGGAAUGUGGAGGAGCUGCUGGUGGUGGAAAAUGUACUUACCUGAAACAAAAUCAGCCUUGUGAAUACCAAGCGCUUUCCGGGGCCUGUACCUCGGCGCACUUCCUGAAGGACACGAACCCUAGAGGGUGCAGGGUCGGGCAGGUCA
rnacentral:lncRNA from 1 species